rnacentral:sRNA from 1 species
CUAUUUUUAAGAAUUGCAGUCAAUGUAGAAGGAAAAGAUAACAAUUUCAGUGUCCAUCCUUUUUGUAGUGAUGAGGAAUUUAAAUCCACCUUCAUCAAACUGGGAGGUGGAAAAGUUGAGCUGUGACCUGAAGAUCCAUGGUUUGCAACAAGAGCUGGAACUGAUGAGGAAAGAAUGUAGCGAUCUCAAAAUAGAACUACAGAAAGCCAAACAAACGGAUCCAUAUCAGGAAGACAAUCUGAAGAGCAGAGAUCUCCAAAAACUAAGCAUUUCAAGUGAUAAUAUGCAGCAUGCAUACUGGGAACUGAAGAGAGAAAUGUCUAAUUUACAUCUGGUGACUCAAGUACAAGCUGAACUACUAAGGAAACUGAAAACCUCAACUGCAAUCAAGAAAGCCUGUGCCCCUGUAGGAUGCAGUGAAGACCUUGGAAGAGACAGCACAAAACUGCACUUGAUGAAUUUUACUGCAACAUACACAAGACAUCCCCCUCUCUUACCAAAUGGCAAAGCUCUUUGUCAUACCACAUCUUCCCCUUUACCAGGA